rnacentral:lncRNA from 1 species
AGAAGUAGACAAUUCUUCACGGGAAGACAACGGAAAUCCAAGGAAAGCUACGAAGGCUGUUAUCAGAGAAAAAUUUCCUCGAAGCACUUUAGCUGUCACUUUGAAGUGUUAGUGACAUCCUUUGGCAGUGAUUAAAUGUGCCACAUGCCACUAAUCUUGUUUAGAAUCCUUAAAGAGGACAGCAGCCCUUACACAGGAUGCUUCGAUCUGAUGACGAUGGUGUUUAUGCAGUGAUGUGUGGCUCACAGGCACGUAUACAACACCAUCAACUCUUCCAUCUCAUACCUCAUCAGAGCUUUCCAUCUGAUCCCAUUUGGAGAAGGAUAUCACACCUGAGGAAUCCACGUGUAAGCUAUUGCUCUUGUAUGAGUUCAGGUGCACACGCACUGUGGACGCACACUGCACUGUGCCCCCCAACGGCUGACAACGUGGAGCCGGGAUGCAGGAGCAUCCGCCUUCUCCAAGUGAGUUCUCGGCACUGCCGUGCUUUCACUAACCCUUUAUUUACUUCUGCUAGUAGACUUUCAACGCCACUGAGUGCUAGAAGAAUUUAAGAAUGUUAAAAUAGAUAUGAUGAGAAUACUGUUUUUUGAACAUCUUCACAUAUGAAGAGUAAAAGUCAGAGGAUAGAGCUUCGGAUUAUCUCAUAGAAGAAAAACACCUUCGCAUUACAUGUGGCAUGAGCCAUUCGCGGGUAUUAUAUCUUCUUCAUUUGCUAUUGUUUUCUUUUAAAGCAUCUCACCAAGCACUCGCUUCACUGUGCAUUUUAUAUUCUGGUUUUAUUUCCCAGUUCACAAUUUUAUUCAGAAUCUUAAAUUAACUGUCCUUGGGAAGUAUACAACUAGUUUUACCCAAAGGAUGGCUGAAAAUGCAUUGUCUUCAACACAAGAUAAAUUAACCUGUUUUCCUUGCGAUGUUUCCCAUGAGGAGUUUGAUCGUUUGCACCUUAUUCUCUUCGGGGAACUUAGGAAAAACCACAUGGAGGUUGUCUUCUCGAUGGCGCAACCAUGAACUGGACACGUUUCUUGACUUAAUCAAGUUAUGUCCUAUUUUUGCCCGUAUUGAUCUUUAUGUCACUGAAAGCCAAUGUGUACAUUUGUCAGUGUCAGAGCACCCUCUGACCAACUCAACUCUGAUCUCUUGUUGUUAAAAUCCCACCCGGUGACCUGCUUGGGUUCCCCCAGCUAGGCGAGAGUUGAGUCCUUAGUAAUUUCAGGCGGGGCCCAGAGAUCAUGGAAGAGAUGCGGGUAGUGGUGAAUCGUACCGAGAUUUUCAAGCUCCAUCUUAAUCAGUGUAGAAUAAUGGAAGCUUUUUUAAAUUCAGCAGGCAAGCACUAUAAUUAAACUCGCAUGUCAUCAAUAUUCCAUCAGGGUGCAACUCAGCCGCCUGUCUCCCUGCCUCGUGCCUUGGGUGGCUGGGCUGUCUUCAUCAUGCUGGGCCCAGCAGCAGGCUAUUUGCCAGGGCACCCACUGUGGACACUCUGCCUUCCCAGGGUAGCCCCGGGCCACAGAACCUGCCACUAGGCAUUGCCCAUUAUUCCAUUUUUCUCUCCUAAUGAUUUUCUGUUGUUGUUCAGAGGGAGUCUCGUUCUGUCUCCCAGGCUGGAGUGUAGUGGCAUGAUCUUGGCUCACUGCAACCUCCACCUCCUGGGUUCAAGCAAUUCUCGUGCCUCAGCCUCCCAAGUAGCUGGGAUUACAGGCAUGUGCCACCAUGCCCGACUAAUUUUUGUAUGUUUAGUAGAGACAGGGUUUCACCAUGUUGGCCAGGCUGGUCUCCAACUUCUGGCCUCAUGUAAUCCGCCCGCCUCAGCCUCCCAAAGUGCUGGGAUUACAGGCGUGAGCCGCCCUGCCUGGCCCUAAUAAUGUUUUUAAGGAGGUGAAUAAUUCCCAUCGACUUAACUCAUCCCAGAGAUUUAGGUCCAGCAGAGCCAGGCCCACACAGUUAUUGAAUCAGACACGAGAAGACGGAAUCGACAUGGCAAUCAGCAUUUAGACAGGCUACUAAGUGCUGCCAUCAAUCACCUUCUCUUCCCAGAAAAGUACAGAUGUCUCCCUGGAUUUCUUACUAAUAACCAGAAAUACAGCUGUCCAGGCCCUGCACAUAUUUUGUAUCACUUGAUAAAAAUAGCUAAUAGCAUUCU